UACGUAGGGUGCGAGCGUUGUCCGGAAUUAUUGGGCGUAAAGAGCUUGUAGGCGGUUUGUCGCGUCUGCUGUGAAAAUCCGGGGCUCAACCCCGGACUUGCAGUGGGUACGGGCAGACUGGAGUGUGGUAGGGGAGACUGGAAUUCCUGGUGUAGCGGUGGAAUGCGCAGAUAUCAGGAGGAACACCGAUGGCAAAGGCAGGUCUCUGGGCCACUACUGACGCUGAGAAGCGAAAGCAUGGGGAGCGAACAGG
rnacentral:rRNA from 1 species